UAGCUAUUAUGUAGGGUAACGGCCUACAUAGGCUAUGAUAGGUAGGGGUUCUGAGAGGGAAGCCCCCCACACUGGUACUGAGACACGGACCAGACUCCUACGGGAGGCAGCAGUGAGGAAUAUUGGACAAGUGGGAGCAAUCCUGAUCCAGCCAUGCCGCGUGCAGGAAGACGGUCCUAUGGAUUGUAAACUGCUUUUAUACAGGAAGAAAAAGACCGACGUGUCGGUUGCUGACGGUACUGUAUGAAUAAGGAUCGGCUAACUCCGUGCCAGCAGCCGCGGUAAUACGGAGGAUCCGAGCGUUAUCCGGAAUUAUUGGGUUUAAAGGGUCCGUAGGCGGGAUAAUAAGUCAGUGGUGAAAGUUUGUGGCUCAACCAUAAAAUUGCCAUUGAUACUGUUAUUCUUGAGUUAUUGUGAAGUGGUUAGAAUGUGUAGUGUAGCGGUGAAAUGCAUAGAUAUUACACAGAAUACCAAUUGCGAAGGCAGAUCACUAACAAUGAACUGACGCUGAUGGACGAAAGCGUAGGUAGCGAACAGGAUUAGAUACCCUGGUAGUCUACGCAGUAAACGAUGGUUACUAGCUGUUCGGUCUAAUUGAGGGCUGAGUGGUUAAGCGAAAGUGAUAAGUAACCCACCUGGGGAGUACGUUCGCAAGAAUGAAACUCAAAGGAAUUGACGGGGGCCCGCACAAGCGGUGGAGCAUGUGGUUUAAUUCGAUGAUACGCGAGGAACCUUACCAGGGCUUAAAUGCAGUUUGACAGGUCUAGAAAUAGAUUUUUCUUCGGACAAAUUGCAAGGUGCUGCAUGGUCGUCGUCAGCUCGUGCCGUGAGGUGUCAGGUUAAGUCCUAUAACGAGCGCAACCCCUAUGGUUAGUUGCUAGCAGGUCAUGCUGAGAACUCUAGCCAGACUGCCGGUGUAAACCGCGAGGAAGGUGGGGAUGACGUCAAAUCAUCACGGCCCUUACGUCCUGGGCUACACACGUGCUACAAUGGUAUGUACAAUGAGCAGCCACUACGCGAGUAGGCGCAAAUCUCAAAAGCAUAUCACAGUUCGGAUCGGAGUCUGCAACUCGACUCCGUGAAGCUGGAAUCGCUAGUA
rnacentral:rRNA from 1 species